UCAUAGUCAGGGGGUCGUACAACCUGAAACUACCUGGGGGUCACUUCAUCACUUCUUGAGGGCUUCCCAGCAGCAGAUCAAAGUGCUUGCUUGAUUUCCUGUCUAGAAUUCUGCCUUCCUCUGUGUUUAGCAUUCCUUAUCUGGAAGCAUGAGGAGUACAGGCUCCGAAUCCGCUCUCGCUACUCAUAUCCACCAAGAAGCAACGCAGCAAGACAGACCCCGAAGGAACAAGUCCUGAUCCUGCCCCCAUAGCCAGCAAAAUUAAUCACCGAGCAAAGCACCACGUCUACUAUCGAGUCUGAAACCUGCUGUCUCCCUCGGACUCAUUUGUAACUGCUCUGUUAAACUGGGCUUUUUGAACAUAGGAUCUAAUGCAGGCGUUUGAACAGCGCUGUCUGGCCAGGACUGUUUUGUUUCAUCUGCCUGCUCUCAUAUUUACGGCUUCGAAGGCAAAGUCAGAACGCUGUGGAGAUAUGGAGGCAUGACUUGAGUAGGCAGGAAGAACGUGGUCAAUGUUGUGGGACUGGAACUCAAUCCCAGCCUAACCGCCUCACUUGCUCCUGUCACUGUCUUUGUUCUUCAAGAUGCAACAUGGCCGCGGAUUCAGCUGGUGCCUGCUCCUGA